GCCCACAACGCCUUGCUUAGCCACACCCCCAAGGGAACUCAGCAGUAAUAAACAUUAAGCCAUAAGUGAAAACUUGACUUAAUUAAAACCAAGAGGGCCGGUAAAACUCGUGCCAGCCACCGCGGUUAUACGAGAGGCCCGAGUUGACAAACGCCGGCGUAAAAUGUGGCUAUAUACAGUAUUGCACUAAAGCUAAACAUCUUCAAAGCUGUUAUACGCACCCGAAGACAGGAGGCCCCUCCACGAAAGUGGCUUUAAACAACAUUAGCCCACGAAAGCUAGGGAACAAACUGGGAUUAGAUACCCCACUAUGCCUAGCCUUAAACAAAAGCAACCACCUACACCUUUUGCUUGCCAGGGAACUACAAGCCCCAGCUUAAAACCCAAAGGACUUGGCGGUGCUUUAGACCCACCUAGAGGAGCCUGUUCUAGAACCGAUAA
rnacentral:rRNA from 1 species